rnacentral:rRNA from 1 species
UACGGAGGAUGCGAGCGUUAUCCGGAUUUAUUGGGUUUAAAGGGUGCGUAGGCGGAUCGUUAAGUCAGUGGUCAAAUUGAGGGGCUCAACCCCUUCCCGCCAUUGAAACUGGCGAUCUUGAGUGGAAGAGAAGUAUGCGGAAUGCGUGGUGUAGCGGUGAAAUGCAUAGAUAUCACGCAGAACCCCGAUUGCGAAGGCAGCAUGCCGGCUUCCGACUGACGCUGAAGCACGAAAGCGUGGGGAUCGAACGGG